UUUAAUCCUCUAUAAAUAAAAACCUUUUGCUUACAAAGUUUACAUGUGAUUUGCAUUGUUGUUUGAUAUCAUGCGUUUCUGCUGGGGAUGGAUGCCAACAUUGAUGUAGCCAAUCAGCAGGAAAAUUUUCAUCUAAUCUAUAUUCUAUUUCAUAUUUAUAGCUUCAGUUAUUGAACUAAGCUUUUGUUUUUGUUUUUAAUUGAUUUUUUGUGUUCAUUAUGUGCCUGUGAGAAUGAAUUCAAUUCACUUAAUUUUUCCCUUGUCUUCCUCUUAAAUUUGAUGCGAAGGUUUUAGAUGCCAACAAAAAGUUCGACAAGUCAAAAUAACAGAUCAUACAAAAUAGAUUGAGAGAUUAUCCGUUACCAUGCUUGGUUUGAUUGCACAAACAUCGACAUCUAAGGUAAUGAAAGAAUUUUUUUUCUUUGCGUGUUUGGCAAUUAUAUUAUUAUUGGUUAUUAUUUUUUUCUUAGGCGGUUCUUUGCGUAGUCUAAUUGAUACAUAAAAUAUCUCUGUAGAAGCGGGAUUUCUGGAUAAUCACAUUCGAUGCACCAAGUUAUAUGUGUCUAGCAUAUAACAUACAAAGGAUCUAAAUCUAAAGAAGGAGGCUUGCCGUACCUAUAAAUUGUGCUUAUCUAGAAAACUUUGAUAGUACUAUAUUUAUUGUUUGCAGGGGCGGAUAUAGUGUAGUGUGAACGGGUUCAAUUAAACCCAUAAUUUUUGAUGCGGAGUAAAAUUUUAUAUGUAAAAAUUCAUUAAAAUUGCAAAAAUUGUAGAUAUGAACCCAUAACUUUAAAUAUAUAAUAGAUUCAAUGCUAAAAAUUUUAAAAGUUGAACCCAUAGGAUUUAAAUCACGGGUUCGGCUCUGAUUGUUUGUAUGGACGUAGGUUGACAGUCCAAGCUAACUAUCUGUGCAUGUGUAUUGGUUUUUUUUUCCAAGAAAGGUUGUGCAUAUAAAUCUAUUUUGUCAUCCAUCAUAAUAUAUAUGUUGUUCUUUCUAUGUUACUUUUCUACUUUUGUGUAUGUCUAAACUCCAUUCUUUUGUUAAAAUUUCAAGCUUGAAAUUGUUCAGAUUUAUACCAGAACUAAUCAUGCGGAGAGAAUGAGGGAAUUUUUGCAGAUUUGAUAUUAGUAUCAACAUUUAUAUUAUAUAAUAUUGUAGCAUGCAUAUUGGUUGCCUGACAAAAAGGUUUUUGCAUUGAUGAAAGUAUAUAUGAGAAAAUUAGGGAAAGUGUACUACAUAUAAAUAGAAGAUUUAUCUUUUUUCGGCUUUAACAUAUGAUUGUUAAAUUAAAAUAUUGAUAUUUUGGAAAUUGCCUAAUAUUUAAAACCAUAAAGUCAACUAAAAGUUUGUGUUUUAUGGAACUUGCAUAUUAUUUAACCACUCAAAAUUAUUUCUUAGGAGGAAUCAUAUGCCAUUCACUUUUGACAAGUUGAACUUGCAAUGGAAUUAGAACUCUUCUUCACAAGUAUAAAUCCUUUUUGCCUAGGAGAUGUUUAUUAGCUUAUUCUUUAUAAAACAAGUCCAGUUAUGAACCGAAAAAGUUAGAACAAUAGGAUACAAAUCUCAAGGGACCUUUUCUCAUCUUUUCCGCAAAGAUAUAGAAUAGAAAUAAAUCUCGUAGAACGACAUUAAUGUUUUUAAGGUUGACAUAGAAUAAAAAGAACUAACAAGUAUCUCCUAAGACAAUUAGACAUUUAAAGAAACAACAUUAAUGUUGUCAAAGACGACAUAGAGUAAAAAACAAAUAAAGUAACCACAAGGCCACUUAAGAUUUCUCGAAGUGACAUGCAUGUUCAAAAAGUAUAACAAACAAUGUUUAUUAAUUCGUCACAUUAAUGGAGAUCAACCUCGUAAGACUCAAAUUUUAAUAUCAGAUCGGAGGACAAGGAGAAAAACAUAAAUAGAAGAAGGAAAAGAAGAAAGAGCAAAAAAAACGGUGGUAAAUUAAUCAUAAAAGUAUGAAUGAAAACAUUUGUACUCGUCAGUGUGUCUAGAGUACUAAAAGAAAUAGAUAUAGUUCAAAAGAAGGUGAUGAGACUUGUUAAGUUAUCAAAUGAACUUUUUAAAAAUGAAUCUUUUCUCAUUGGGAGCUGGCUGUAAUAGGACAGCGAGUAUUUUGACCCCCAACGAGAAAGGAAUGGGCAUUUUCGGGCGGGGGGCGGUUUGGUUUCAAGGCCCUCGCAGCAGGAAGAGGCAGUUGUCAUUUGAAAGGAAAGGCCCUUUGUAUAGAGUUCGAACCCGCGAUUUCUGGCGUGACAGACCAGCACUCUAACCGACUGAGCUAUUUCCCCCUUUCGUCGCUACUUUGAUUCAAAAGUAACCUACCGGCCUAAGAUUAACUAUAAGGCUAACCCGAAGUACUUACAUGUUUUAUCAGAUUGCAGGUCCCUUAUGGAUGCUCUUGCUAAAGCUAGAAAGGUCAGGGAUCCCCUCACUGACUCUUUCUUUCAUGCUUUUUGAACAAGAGUUAAUAGGGGCUGUAACUUUACAUUCAGUUUCUGUUUGUAAUAACUCUCCUUAGUUUUCUUUUAAUAAAUGCAUCUGUUUAGCCCAAAAAAAACUAUGAGGCUACCAUUGUUGAUAUAUUCAAAGACCAGAAGCUUGUUCUCCUUCCUAUAGUGAAAACAAGCUCUUAUAGUUAAAUCUGCCAAAAUUAAUUCAUAUGCUCACAAAAGUCUUCCUUACCCCAAAUAUGCUCAUAUAAGUAACCAAGAAGUAAAAAUCAUAAUGAACGUUCAUGGUAUGAAUUAGCUAAAAGAGUGGUAUCUUAGAUAUCUUCAUAUGAUGCAUGAAGUCAACUCUUUUUUGUAACAAGAAUUAAUCAGUGUUUAAUUUAUGUUGUACAUUUUUAAUAUCUAAUAAUCUCUUACAAUAAUUACUUUUUAUAUUUUUUAUUUUCAGUUCUAGGGUUCACGUGCGAGGCACGUACAUAGAG
rnacentral:lncRNA from 1 species